AUUUCAAAUCCCUCACUAACCGUGGAAUUUGGGAAAUCCUCCCACAACGCUCGCGUCUUCACUGCCUCAAGCUGCGACAACAAUGUUAAAGCCGCAACCACCAUGGUGUUCAGAUACACAUACACCUCUACUAUGUCAUGGGUGUUGGCAAUGACAAGCAUGGGAAUUAUCAUGGCUUCGGGUUAUUAAAGUGCCAUGAAUAUCUUAGCAUCAACCAUCAGAAGUGUGUUGUACUUGUAGAUUUGAGAAUUGUAACUCUUUUUUAGGGAUUGAAUACCUUAAUUUGUAUGUUUUGAUUUCGUCAGAUUGAUGUGUAAAUAUGUAAAUGUAGCAAAACAUGUUGUACCUUUGGUUCUUUAAUUAAUUUCUAACACAUGAUUACAUUGAUCAAUAUAAUACAAAUAA